rnacentral:rRNA from 1 species
UAAGGAAUAUUGCUCAAUGGGAGAAAUCCUGAAGCAGCAACGCCGCGUGGAGGAUGAAGGGUCUAUGACUUGUAAACUCCUGUAAAGAAGGAAAAAAUUCCCAUUAGAUGGGAGAUGAUGGUACUUCUGGAGUAAGCCCCGGCUAACUACGUGCCAGCAGCCGCGGUAAUACGUAGGGGGCAAGCGUUGUCCGGAUUUACUGGGUGUAAAGGGUGCUCAGGCGGAUUUGUAAGUCAGAGGUGAAAUCCUACAGCUUAACUGUAGAACUGCCGUUGAUACUUUUAUUCGUGAGUUCGGGAGAGAGAGACGGAAUUCCAGGUGUAGUGGUGAAAUACGUAGAUAUCUGGAAGAACACCAGUUGCGAAGGCGGUCUCUUGGUCCGACACUGACGCUGAGGCGCGAAAGCGUGGGGAGCAAACA